GCCUGACUUUUUACAACUGUUGCCCAAGCAGUAAAAUCAGAAAAACACUCCAAGCCCAAAGUAGAGACCAAGGGCAACAUUAGAAAACCCUGGAUACAUCCCUACGGUUGCUUGUGGUCAAAAGACUUCCCUUCUCUGGAGAUAAUUAAGAUGAUGCAUCUUAAUUCGUAGUGCCAUAAAUGCUACAUCAAGGUUAAUUUUUCUGUACUAUCAGAGCCAAACACUUAGCCACAGCCCCAAAUUCAUUCUGCUACCAGCAUUCUCAACCAAAGUGGGAACUCUGGGAAUGCUCAGAUGAACCAGAGGUUGACCCUGACUGGCAGAUGCUCGUGAUCCAGCAAAGGAAACCAGGUUUCUCUUGUUCCUGGGUUGAAGCGGAACACUCUUAUGCGCUUCCUGUGUCCCUAGGCCACACUACCCACCUCCCCCUACAGCACCCACACUGAAGAAUGGAAAGGGGACCACUGUCUCUCCUAUGGGCCUCAAGAUGAACCUAGGAGAGAAAUGGCCACAGGAGUUUCACCGCUGUGGUCUCCAAACAAGGAAACUG